AUAGUCAGGAGGAGCAUUACCAACCUGUUCAGCUUUUUUAUAUAACGUUAUACAUAGUUCUUCAACACUCCCUCUAAUAUCUGCAUACAAAACUGGAGGUUUUUUCAUAACAAAAUUAAUUCCCAACGAAGUGAGUGUUUGUACAUAUGUUUGCAGGAAAUUUUCAAUACCCCUCAUAGGGAGUCUACGCGUUGAAGUAAAACACAUUACAGCCCAAGAUCUAAUAGGAGCCCUCGGCGGAUCAAGGAACCGUUUACCACGUAAAUUCCAACGUCCACUAACGGGACGCUCAAUGCAAUCUCCUCCGUAACGAAUAGAAGGAGUUUCUAAAACACGAGCUGGAACUUCGAGCAUCUUUUUCUGAAUUUUCAUACCAUAUUGGGUUAGGUAGGGAUCUGUAUCCCAAUCCAUCUGAUGGACAAAAUCAUCGAUUUGCUGGACACGUUCGAAAGGUCGUUGGACCGCAAAACGGAUCAUGUUGGCAGUUUGAUCACUAUUCAGUUUUGCAGUAUAUCUCUGACCUUUUACAACAAAACAGAAUUCAAUAGGAAGCAUCGCCCCGUUCUUUACUAAUAUGCAAGGUAGGUUAGGAUAUUGCAAACGAACAUUGUGAUUUUCAAGAAAGUAUUCAGCUACAGAGAUUUUUUGCUCUUCACCAUUAAGACGGCGAACAAAAAAGCUAUCACUGGCACUUUUUGAGGAAAAUCCCUCGAUGGAAUAAACUCUAUUCGCCAGGUCAGUACCGACAUUAUUGCGAUGCUGACAGGUCACCUUUAGAAACCGAAACUUGCGGGAAAGACGUUUUAGGUCAAAACGUGUUAAGUCUCUAACGUUCGAGCAAUCUGUGUAUUCCAUAAGGAUCUGAAGUAAAGAAUCAUUACGCCAAAAUGCACUCGAAGAUAUAUCUACAUUAACAGACAUGAAACCCUGAUUCGGUCGUAUAGACUGGUAAAACCCUUUCCAAGCCUCUACUCCACCUCCAAGUGAAACUCCGUUUUCACCUGUAAAAAAAGAAUGCAUGAAGCCAAACAAAGUCUCAGAUGGUUUCUUCUUUAACAGCAAAUCCAGAAACAUUAUACUGCUUAGAACUUGCGGAUCCGAAGAAUACUUUGAGUUUACAAACUGGCUAAGAGUAUGCAAAUUAAUUUUAGAUGAUUUUUGAAUAGAGAAUUCAAUUUCUCGAGGGUGCGACUCACUGCCUAUGUUUACCUUGAUGGUGCCAUCAGCAAUAUCACCUUUAGACCAACACAUGCUUCGCCCAUCAUAAACAGAAUUCAUCCAGGAAGAUCCAAAAUACUGUUUAACUUCUUUAGAAUUCCAAAUCAACUGGGAUUGCUUUCGUGGGACACGUGAACCAUCACCUACUAUGACCUACAACAAAAGGCGUUAAUUUGAUGCAAUUCUACGUUAAUGUACAAAAUUUGAGGAAGAGAUGAAAUACAAAAGAAAAGAAUCGUGCAAUGCAAGACAGAUACAAAAUGAUGUAGCAGGCAAAGUAAACAACAGAACAUUAAAAGAAAGUGAGAAAAUAAACCA